CUUUCUUUCUUCUUCUUUUUCUUCUUCUUCUUCUCCUUCUCCUCUUUCGUUAUCUACUUAUCUUCUUCUCUGAUCUUCUUCUGUUCGAGUUUUAAUUUUUGAAAUGGAGUUUUGAGAUCAAGGGAAGACGAUAUAGAACAAGUAAUGAAGGAUAAUGGUGGUGUUGAUUAGAAUAGUUAAUUCAGAGUCGAUUGAAAGGUAAAUCAGAGAAUCAGAAUUAGGGUUUGUAGGUUGAUUAUUGUUCUGAAGUUUUAGAAGAUGAUAUUUAGAGCUAUAGUUAGAUGAAGAAUCUUGGGUGGAUGUUUGAUUGAAGUUUUGAAGUUGAUUCAGUUAUGAAUUGAAGAACUAGGGUUUCUUAAGAAGAUCAAAGAAGAAUUAGAAGAUGAAUUUGAUGGUUAGGGGAUUAAAUUAACGGUGGGUUUGUUCUUAAUUGAAACAUAGUUGGAUGAAUUGAGAUUCUUAAAUCAGAAAUUAGGGUUCUUAUUGGAUUUGAGAUUUAGGGUUCUUGAGUUUGGGUUGCAGGUGGAACAGAGAUAGGUUGAGCAGCUGUAAAGGAUAAUGGUUUGUGUUCAAGGUAAUUUCUCUUCAGUAUUGAGUUUUAUUAAGAUGUGUUAUCGAAUUGAAGUGAUUGUUGUUGUAGUGCUGAAUUGAAGAUUGAUAUUGUUGAUGUUGAUAAUCUAUGAUGUGUGAGUUUUAAUCAUUUAGAUGUGAAUAAAUGGAACUGUCAUGUUUGUGGCUUGUUGGUGGUUUUGUUUGAUUAAUUGAGAUAUAUUUGUAGAAGAAGAAUUAUGAAUCAUGGGGUUCAGUCUGAAGAAGUUGUUGGUGUUCAAUAUGUGGAGUAGUUAGUGAGACUAUGGAGUGCGGUUGGAUGCUGGACAGGCACUGCAGGUGAAGUUGUUUUUUUUUUUUGAUAUGAAGUUGAGUGUUGAAUGAUAAAGGGUGGUGUUACUGGAAUUGCAGGUGGUAGCAAUUUGAAGAAUUACAAGGCCUAGAAGAUGUUAAUGAGAGUUAUAGUUAUAAUAUGGGGGAGUGUUGUGUAGUUGGUAAUACUGAACUUGAGUUGUAUUCAAGAUUGGUGGUGUAUUACAGUUGCUGAUGAACUGCAUGUGUUAUGAUGAUGAUGCUGUUAAUGUUGUUGUUGAAGUUGUAGAAUGGAAUUGAGUCAUAUAGUGGUGGUUCUGUAGCCGUUGAUGAUGCUUAUGGGUUUGUGGUGUUGUGACUGAUGUUAUGGUUGCAAUGAUGGGUUGCUUAUGCCGAGGUUGAAUCACAGUUAGAAGUGAAGUGUAAUUAAGAUGGGAGUUACAUAGGAGGUUUGAGUUUGAUAUCAGUGAUUAAGGUGUUGUGUGACUGAAAUAUUAGAAUGAGGGUUAAUUGAAUAUGCUUUAUUGAACCUCCCCAGUGGAAGAUUGUAUCUGCAAUCGCAGUUCGUCUAUAUUAACAACGAUCAAUUCAAAGGAUGAACCGGUGGAUCGUGGAUCUCGAGGUAGGCGUGGCUUGUCAUCAAAAGAGUUUCAGACACAGAUCAGAGUUGCGCGGCGGAUUCUUCGAGGAAUUGAGUCAGUUAGUCGGUUAACUUCGGCUAUGUUUAUUAUGUUGUAUAUUUUAUUUGUAAAUCAAAUGAUUAUUAUAUAUGUAUCAUAUGAGAGGAGUUCUUGUAUAUAUAUUUCUGAGCGGGGUUAGUUUUGGGUUAACUUUUGUAGCUGAAUUCUUAAUUGAAUGCUUAAGUAUAUGAUUUAGAUUCUUAGUGCC